CUCAAGGCAAAAGCUCUGUAUUUCCCCAGGCUCCGACACGUGUCAUGGCCAGAAGGAGGGAUGCUGGGUUGGGUCCUGGAGCUCCCUCUGCGAGAGAAGUUAAGAAAGUUUACAGCUUUGUCUUGAGACAUUUGCUGAAGUCAUGUUUCAAGAGGCAAAUCACAUCUGCUGCAACAUGAACCGACCACCAGGCAGUAAGAUGCACAGGUUCUCAGGCUCUGAGACCCUAUGGGAAAUUGCCUAUAGGGCCCCACAGCCUGGGAAACUGGCCUAGAGGUUUUAUGAAGUGACUAAUAUCCUACAGGGAACAGCCGGGUCCCAGGACUUGCAUCAUGGUCAGCAGACCGGCCCCUCUCUGAGCAACACCCUUGGGAUUAUUCACGUCCAUCUGGAAGAAACUAGUCUCUGAGUUUGAUUCAGGACUUCUUUCUCUUUCCCACCUCUUACCCCAGCCAUGUAAUUUGCACAUCGUUUUAUAUUUUCUAUUGGGAAAUCACAAAGCAUCUAAAAGGCAAGCAGUGGUUCUCAAGCUGCAGCCAAAGAAACACCAGAGGCUUUCGCACAAUCCCUUUUUCCUGAAGCCAACUCUGCUGAGGAUGUGAUGUGGAUACGGAUUACAGGGACCAUCCUCCAUUGUUUUAUGAGUCUAUCACAGAUUAUGACGGACAUGGAACAUGGAAACCAGUUUCUACCAAAGCCUGUGAGGACCAUUCUGUACAAAUUGGGAGAGAGUGCACAGAAGCCUGGAGAGCUGACCGGGGAGGAGGGCCACAGUGCAUUGCGUCCAGCCCUCUUCCACCCUUGCACUCUUAGCUGCUCUCAUCCCCGUCUGCUCACACCUUGCUUACAGGGGCUGGAUCCAGUUUCAUGUGUCUUCAGCCCCUGACUGGGUCUUGUACACACGGACAGAGGUCUCAGUUCCAGCACUGUCAUUGACUUGCGUGCCCCUCGGCCGACCUCCAGCACUGAGCUGCUCUUAGUGCCUGACUGCCUGGCCCUGAGCAGUUCCUCUGUCUGCAUCAUACCAAGCCCUGGCUUCCUCCUGCGGUAUACAAGGCCCAGCAGUUUUUGCACUGAUGCCUGCAGCCCAGACAGGGUCAGAGAGAUAAAACGUCUUGCCAAAGACACUCAGCUAGUGGGAAGCACAGUCUGGACAGAACCUACUAGAUCUUUCGACCUUGUGUCUGUGAGUUUUCCCCUGGACUUGCACAGGUUGCUGCAAACCCCCAUGUUCUGUGCCACCUGAGCAAAUAGGAGCCCAGUGAACAGCAUAGACACAACAUAGAGAAGGCGCAACCAUACAGCCAGAUGCCAGCCCACCCCCACGCCCACUCCACAUGUGUGGCUGCCCCUGCCAACGUAGGACGAGACUUCUACCGGUCUCUGCUCUCUGCCAGCCCUGAGCUGCACAAACCACACCGCCCCACCACUGCAGGUGGUAAUUUGCAUGGGGGAGCAGAGCGUCUCCCAGGAGGCUAGGCCUAUCUAAGUUUCUCUUCUGUACUUGGGAGACGAACAGCCACUUUAAAAGAGAGAAAAACAAGACACUAGUAACUCUGUGCUUGGACCCGGGCCUUUAGGUGUUUCAAAGCCUCCCGUGGCUAUUUCUGGCCCCAUUGUCGUCUGGGUCUGAGAGGAAGGCCUGAUGGCGAUUCUGUGCUUUAAAGGCAGAAACAGAACAUUGUUUUUGCCAGCUUUGAUUUAAUGGCCAAAAACAGUUAUAGGAAACUGUUCAGCAGAUGUUUUAUGAAACUCAGAAAAGAUUGGGUCUUUUAGAAGGGCUAUUUUUAGACAAAUGCUUCCUACCAUUGGGGGGAUGGUGCUCACAAAAGGGACAGAAAAUGGGAGAGAGACUUGGAGGGAGCUUUGAACAUUUUGACGAUCACAUUUUAUUUUUCCUUGCAUUUUCAGCAUGAAUUAAACAUACCUGGGAAUCUUUGGAGGAUCAGAUAGUUGCAGAGGUAGUUCUGGGAGGAGGGGUUGACUUUAGAGUUCUCUUUCUAAAAUGAGGGUUUCUUGGGUGCCAGGAAAAUCUAUGUUUUUCAUCAUUUUCCACCUUCUGAUGUUCUAGCAGCACAGAAAUGCUGUUUUUUCUUACUCUACUUUCUUGCCUCUCUUUGCCUGAAUUAACUUUUUUCCUCUCAGCUCAUCCUGACC
rnacentral:lncRNA from 1 species